GAUGAACGCUGGCGGCGUGCCUAAUACAUGCAAGUCGAGCGAACGGACGAGAAGCUUGCUUCUCUGAUGUUAGCGGCGGACGGGUGAGUAACACGUGGAUAACCUACCUAUAAGACUGGGAUAACUUCGGGAAACCGGAGCUAAUACCGGAUAAUAUUUUGAACCGCAUGGUUCAAAAGUGAAAGACGGUCUUGCUGUCACUUAUAGAUGGAUCCGCGCUGCAUUAGCUAGUUGGUAAGGUAACGGCUUACCAAGGCAACGAUGCAUAGCCGACCUGAGAGGGUGAUCGGCCACACGGGAACUUAGACACGGUCCAGACUCCUACGGGAGGCAGCAGUAGGGAAUCUUCCGCAAUGGGCGAAAGCCUGACGGAGCAACGCCGCGUGAGUGAUGAAGGUCUUCGGAUCGUAAAACUCUGUUAUUAGGGAAGAACAUAUGUGUAAGUAACUGUGCACAUCUUGACGGUACCUAAUCAGAAAGCCACGGCUAACUACGUG
rnacentral:rRNA from 1 species